GAUGGACCAUAGUGAAAAAUCCCUUAUAGAAGUUGUGCAGAGAUUCGAAAUAUUGUAUGAAAGAAGGGCUGCCAACUACAAAAAUAAGAGAACUAUGAAAAAAAAUGCUCUAGAAAAAGUGGCGGACGAGUUGAACUACAUGAAGGUAAAAUGCAAGGGAGAGGCAGCCUGGACGGGAGAUCUUGUAGAACGGGCAUAAAAAAUGUGCGUACUCGCUUUUCGAGAUACCUUAAAGAUUUUAAAAAAAAAGAUGAGAUCAGGUGCAGGCAGCCUUACUACAAGGAACGAGUUGCAGCUGAUACAUGCUCUUUGGAGGAAGAGGAAG